rnacentral:rRNA from 1 species
GAUGAACGCUAGCGGCAGGCCUAACACAUGCAAGUCGAGGGGCAUCGCGGUGCAGCAAUGCACUGGCGGCGACCGGCGUACGGGUGCGUAACGCGUAUGCAACCUGCCCCGCACCGGGGGAUAGCCCGCCGAAAGGCGGAUUAAUACCCCAUGGUCCCGGGGGCCCGCAUGGGCAUCCGGGUAAAGCCUUGGCGGUGCGGGAUGGGCAUGCGUGCCAUUAGCUGGCUGGUGGGGUAACGGCCCACCAGGGCAACGAUGGCUAGGGGGUCUGAGAGGACGGUCCCCCACACUGGUACUGAGACACGGACCAGACUCCUACGGGAGGCAGCAGUGAGGAAUAUUGGUCAAUGGGGCGGAAGCCUGAACCAGCCCAUGCCGCGUGCGGGAUGAAGGCCCUACGGGUUGUAACCGCUUUUCCCCGGGAAGAAUAACCCCGAUGAGUCGGGGAUGCCGGUACCGGGGGAAGUAAGGAUCGGCUAACUCCGUG